AGUUAAUAAGUUUUAAAACAUAUAUUUUGAAAAUAUAAAAAAGAAGAUUAAACUUCUAUUAACUU
rnacentral:tRNA from 1 species